rnacentral:RNase_P_RNA from 1 species
AGAUGAUCGCGGCUGAGUGGCAAUGCGUAAGCAUUGUCAGGCAGGUGAGGAAAGUCCGGGCUUCAUAGGGCAGGAUGCCGGAUAACGUCCGGUGGAGGUGACUCCAAGGCCAGUGCAACAGAAAGAUACCGCCUGAUAUUCAGGUAAGGGUGGAAAGGCAGCUUAAGAGACUACCGUGCGUCUGGUAACAGACGCAGCCAUGUAAACCCCAUCCGAAGCAAGACCAAAUAGUGAAGCGAUACGGCGGCCCGUCGUGCUUUGCGGGUAGGUUGCUUGAACCUGCUGGUAACAGCAGGUCUAGAUAGAUGAUCAUCCACGACAUAACCCGGCUUAUCGUUUUGCUCA